rnacentral:rRNA from 1 species
AAGUCGUAACNAAGGUUUCCGUAGGUGAACCUGCGGAAGGAUCAUUAUUGUAAACAAUGGGGGUGCAAGGGCUGUCGCUGACCUUCAAAGGUUGUGCACGCCUGAGCACCCUCACACAUCCAUCUCACCCCUUUGUGCAUCACCGCGUGGGUCUCCUUUUCGCAAAGGAGCUCACGUUUUCACACAAAAUUUGAUACAGUGUAGAAUGUUAUCUUUGCGGUCACACGCAAUCAAUACAACUUUCAACAACGGAUCUCUUGGCUCUCGCAUCGAUGAAGAACGCAGCGAAAUGCGAUACGUAAUGUGAAUUGCAGAAUUCAGUGAAUCAUCGAAUCUUUGAACGCACCUUGCGCCCCUUGGCAUUCCGAGGGGCACACCCGUUUGAGUGUCGUGAAACCCUCAAAAAUCCUUUUUGGAGUUACUGAAAAGGAUUUUUGGACUUGGAGGUUUAAUGCUUGCCUUUCACCUUUGAAAGCAAGCUCCUCUCAAAUGAAUUAGUGGGGUCUGCUUUGCUCGAUCCUUGACGUGAUAAGAUGUUUCUACGUUUUGGAUUUUGGCACUGUUCCUUGGAUGCCUGCUUCUAACUGUCUCAUGGACAAUGGAUGGUGCUCUGGUCCCUGCCUUCUAAUGUUGGUGGGAGGCUGGACCCAUGAAUGAAAAUCUUGACCUCAAAUCGGGUGAGACUACCCGCUGAACUUAAGCNUAUCAAUAAGCGGAGGAAAAGAAACU